CAGAGAUGGCGCUGAAAAUCAUCAUUUUUCUUCUAAAAGGAAAUGUGCACAACACUUCUCAGUUCUCCUGCAUCCAGAAUCUUUCUUUCCACCAUUGGCGUUGCUGCGAGGCCAGAUAAGAUAUAAAUCCAAAAAUUCUAAAUGUUUUGCACAUCUGUCUGAGAACAAUAAAGGAAAAAGAUUUGAUUAAGGAGAAGAAGAGUUUCAAAUAGAAGAAUGCCAGGCUUUAUAUCAUUGGAUAAACUUGUCAAGCAUUGUGUGGUAUUGAUAGAACACAUAUGGACUAUCUAUCAUACAGUUCACAUGAUUCUUUGGCAUUUUCCAACUUGAAGAAGGAAGUCGGAUAUUAAAAACAUUGAUUAAAAAAUGAAAAACAUCUAUAGCAUGUAUUUGGGAAGCUUGUUGGAACAUUGUAACUGCUAUUUACAAUAUUAAGAACAGCAAUAUUUUGAGAAAGAAAAUCUAACUCUUGGUUAAAAUGAUUAAACAAGUUACAAAAGCUAUUGGUGAUUGACAAUCAAGAUAGUAGUAACAUCGCAAGGAUAAUUACAGGAUCAACUGAAUAAUCUUUUGCAAGAAUAAUUUUGUCAAUGUGGAAAAUCAAUGGUUGAUCAAUGAAGAAGUUAUUUAUACUUGAGGAAAGACAAAAAAUUUUGCAUAAAUGACAUGACAAUCAUCAGGAUAAAAAAUUUUAAAAUUUAGUACAAAGAUAAUGCAAGAUAAUAGAGUCAAUUAUGUAAAACAAUUUUAAACAAUCAAUGACAUUAUAUUGUGCAUGAUAUUGUAUAUCAAUACAAAUUUUGAAAAAUUUAAUAAAUUUUUUUAUCUAUAUAUAAGUUUAGUGUUACAAAUUUAA